UACCGGCAGCACGAGUGAUGGCCGCUAUUAUUGGGCCUAAAGCGUCCGUAGCCGGCCAGUCAAGUCCGUUGGGAAAUCGGCGCGCCUAACGCGUCGGCGUCCAGCGGAAACUGACUGGCUUGGGGCCGGAAGACCUGAGGGGUACGUCCGGGGUAGGAGUGAAAUCCCGUAAUCCUGGACGGACCACCGGUGGCGAAAGCGCCUCAGGAAGACGGACCCGACGGUGAGGGACGAAAGCUAGGGUCUCGAACCGG
rnacentral:rRNA from 1 species